rnacentral:lncRNA from 1 species
CUCAGAUUUGUCCUCGAUUCUUAAUGGAAGGAAGAGGAAAACACUCUUCCCUUUAAACAAGGUUGGAGAGGAGGAGUUUGACUCCUCCUUGAUGGCAGUUUCUGACUCCGAUCGAAAGUCAUUCAGGAAGAAGAAGACUUCAUUAAGGAGUCUUCUCUCAAAUUUUUUUUUUGAUGCUGCUUUGAGUUUGGUGCAAUUGAGG